GCCAAACUCAGCCUGUAGAUCACUGAGCACAAUGUGCUUAUGUCAAGUUCUCAUAGGCUUCUCAGAAUCUGCUCCCCACAUGCUAAGGGAGCGACACCUGACUCUCGGGGGACACCCUCCUCCUUACCGUAAUCCUUCCUCUGCACUCUAACCGUUCAUGUGACCCCCACCUACUCAAAGCAGAACACUUUCCUUGGAGGCUUCCCAAGGCUAGUUCCCACCGCCAGAGACAGCAGGGCCAGAGGGCCCAAUUCAGGUGCAAGUACCUUUUUCCAACAAUGCAAAGAAAAACUGGAGAUACAUCCUGAGGGCCCAGAUACAUUUGCAUAAGUGUUUCGGACCCUGACAUUGGCUUUCAAUCCGUCCUGGAGAGAGAGUCACUUCCUGUUGGCCAAUUUUGUACCCCAUAGAAAAAGAAAGAAUUCUCACUUCUUCCUGUAAUGAGGCAGAUGUCAGGGAGUCUUGGACUCAUCAGCCACGGGCUGAUACUGUCCCUGAAAAUGAACCUACCUGGGACUAAAACACUCAGAGGAUGACACGAAGGACAGCUAACAUCAUACAAGAAAUUCUCCUGGGCAUGAAAUCAGGAAUUGCUAAACCUAUUAAUUAUUGUAAGGUUAGAGAAAUUGCUCAGGAAGAGAAAGAAAACCCUGUAUCAUUUAAUGAUAGGCUGGAGGAAUUCUUUAGAAAAUACACCAGUACCGAUCCUUCCUCCAGACAAGAAGAAGCCCUUCUGAGCCAUCGUUUUAUUGCUCACUCUGCCCCAGACAUCAGGCGGAAGCUUCAGAACUACAGCUGGAACCUCAGACUAAUAAGACCCAGCUGCUAGAUGCUGCUUUUCCAGACUAUGACAAUCUGGAAGGAUUGGAGGAGAGAAAUACAGUCACAGUUGUGACUGCCAUGAUUGGGGAUGCCAGUACUCACCCUUCAGGCAUGUUUAGGUGGGAGAGGCAGCAAUUCCAAGAAGCCAACCUGUGACAAAUGCAAGAACCUGGCACAUUUUGCUAGGGAACGCCUGGAGCUACCUCUCACCCCUUAUCUCAACUGCUACAGAAAAGGAGGGGAUUCUUGGCACUAGAGGUUUGACUGUCCGUGCUUGCAGAGAGGGGUUCAGCCAGUGAAGACUCUGGCUGCAUUGCAGAAGCUGAACACAAGUGAGGAGCCCUGAGGCGCUUUCUAUAUGCCCCACCUAAAAUCAUCGUUAUGAGAAAUCUCAGGUAGCCUUGAAUGUCUUGGGUAAGCAAAUUAAUUUUCUAUUGGAUAUGAGGCAACAACAUACUCUAGUCUUUCCACCUAUGCGGGAAAGCCUUCCUCCCAGACCAUGAUUGCAAUGAGGGCCACUGGAAAAAAUAGGGUUAGAAAUUUCACCCCUCAUGCCUUGCCAUAUUGAGACUCAAGUCUUUGUGCGUAGAUUUCUUAGAGUCCCCGGAUGCCCCACUCCACGUUUGGGCCAGGAUAUAAUGGGAAAAUUGGACACAGUCCUGCUAAUGGACUGGAGAAACAGCUAAUGCCUUCAGGGCCCUUAAAAAGGCCCUAGCUGAGGCCCCAGCCCUAGGAAUUCCCUUUUGUAUAUGUAUCAGAAUAAAAAGAACUGCAGUAGAAGUCCUAACUCAGAAGCUAGGGUCAGAAACUCGUCCAGUAGCCUAAGAGGUUGGAUGGAAUAGCCCUGGGUUGGCCAGGAUGCCUGAGGGCAAUAGCUGCCACUUCCCUCCAAGUGGAGGAGACCACUACAGGACCUACUCCCCCAUCAGAGAAGGGCCACAUUGGAACCAAAAGGCCAAUUGUGGAUGUUCAGGGAGACAUUAACUAAACAUCAAGCCAUCCUUCUAGAGUCCCCAAAGGGAUCAUAAAGACCAGUAGCAUCCGAAAUCCUGCAUUUUUGUUGCCCUCUGAACUGAUGUCCAAGCACACUUGUGAGCAGGUGAUGAUACAAACUGAUGCAUGCAGGCCAGACGGGGCAGAUAAGCCACUCCUCAACCCAAGGAUGAUUGGCUUACUGUUGGAAGUAGUUGUGUGCUAAAUUGGGAAAGAAAGGCAUGAUAUGGAGUGGUGAGCCAAGAGGAAGUCACUGAAGCAUGGCCCUUGCUGGCCGGGACUUCAGCCCAAAAAGCAGGACUGAUAGCCUUAACUAAAGCCCUAACUCUGGAGAAAGAAACGAAGACUUAACACUUCAACCACUUCAAAAGAUAAAUUCCUAGUACUGCCUGCUCAUGCAGCUAUAUGGAAGGAAAGGGGACUUCUCUCAGGAAGGCAAUUCCCAAUAAAACACAGAAAGGAAAUCCUUCAGCUAUUGGAGGCUUGUCGCCUACCUAAGGAGGUGGUAAUGAUCCACUGCUAGGGACAUCAGAAAGAUUUAAUCCUAGAACUGCAGGGAAACAAUCAGGUGGACUGAGAGGCUAAACAGGCAAGUCUGUGGCCUCUAGAUGUCUCACUGAUCUCUGCUCUGGCACUCUUCCCUCCACGGGAGCCUGCAGAUCUCAAAUGUACUCCUGAUAAGGAAAAGGAGGCUGCCCUGAUGGGUGGCGCACAGAUGGUAAGUUAAUCUUGCCUCAAGCAAUCCAAUGAAAGGUGAUAAAAAUCUAUACAUGAUACUUUCAACUUGGACCAAGAUGCAACCCAGGGGCUAAUUGGUUGUUUCGGGGAACUGGAAUAAAAUCUACAGUUUGGCAGGCAGGUUUGCCAAAGCUGUUCCUGUGCUUUUAUAACAAUUCUGGUCCAAAGAUUCCCCCACUGGUUGAUCCAAUCCAGAGAAUGGGGCACUUACCUGGGAUAGGAUUGGGAGGUAGAUUUCAUUCACAUGCCCCCUUUACUAAGGAUAUAAGAAGUUGCUAGUAUCCUUUUACAGGAUGGAUUGAAGCUUUUCCCACAUGGACAAAAAAAGCCUCUGAGGUGGCAAAGGUCCUUCUAAAAGAGAUUAUUUUUUAGAUUCGUCCUACCCUGGACACCUCAAGUGAGAAUAAGCCAACUGGAUCCUUCAGACCUUGGGAAUUAAAUAUCAUUUACAUUCAAGCUUGGAGGCCCCAAUCCUCUGGUAAGGUGGAAAGGAACCAUCAAACCUUGGCCAAGCUUUGCCAAAAGACCUCUAGAAAAACUUCUGUCUAUUGCCCAGCUGAGAAUGAGAAAUACACCAUAGGCUAAGAUCCAUCUGAACCCCCUUUGAAAUGCUCUAUGGGAGGCCAAUGACUUAGUGAUGGACCCUGAGACUGACAGUCUCCUCAACAUAUAUAAAUAGAUCUAGGGAAAUUGCAACAAGCAAUCUGGGAGUUGGGAAAUAAGGUUCCCCCAACAAAAGAGAGAAAACUCAGAAAAUGAAUUGGGAGAAUAGGUGUUGAUCAAGACCUAGAAGGAUGGACCCCAGCUGACCAACUCCAGUCCAAAUGGAAGAGUCUCUAUCCAGUGAUCAUGGCCACUCCCAGAGCCAUCAAAGUGCAAGGAAUGGAUAGUUGGAUUCAUCUUUCCAGGACAAAGCUUGUGACAGAGGAACCUUCUUUUGACCAAGGUGACUGAGAUCACUUACUCCUGGAGCUGAUAGAAGACCUGAAACUUCUCUUCUGGAGAGAUAAAAAAGCUUCAGCUUAAAAGUUCUGAUGCAGCAAGACUACCAUCCUGUGCAAACAGACAAACUCCCCAUGAGCAACCUUCAUCAUGCUGGAUGAAGAUUCAAAUGAGGACCACCCGGUGGCCUGGCAAGUCCCGAGGGAAAGAAGUAGGAGAGACAACUUCCCUGAUAGGACACUCUCAGACCCUGAGCCACCCAUCUCCACCUCUUGACGAGCUGGGAUUGAGGGCAUAUAAAACAAAACUGGCGAAAGCAAAUAUUUAAAAGACUCAAUAAGUGCUUCUCCCUGGAUUUGUAUCUCUGGAAUCAGGACAGCGCCCCACCUGAAGACUCACUGACUUCUGGUCACAACUGUGAGCUGGCAGGAGGUCUCCAUCUGCUGUUUCCAUGCACUCCAGAUGAUGCCGAUUCUGCUGCAUAACCUUGUGUGGAUCCUGUCUCGUGGGUCACUUCUCUGACUUUCUGGGGCAUGAAACCCUCCUCCUCCUCCAGCCAGAAGUUCCUCCAUUUUUCUAUAAGCUACAUGUCUACACCUUGGGAAACUCUUCACCUCAUGGCCUCAACACCGAGGGCCUCCCAUCCUUGGGCUUCUCCUCUUCAGGGGAUUCCUGAUGGGGAUCAGGCCAAUCCUUUGCCUCCCUCAGUCCCAUCUUCCAAAUUCUACUAUAAAAUGCUACUUGUGACUAUAACCUCUUUUCCUCUGAUACAAAAAAAACAGACUGACUUUGCCUCAUGCCUGUAUUCUGGCACUGAAAAGUCUCCAUGUGAUUACUAAAAUAUACAAACUCAUCUUAUGCUACUGUUUGUUGUAUGUAAACUCUGUCUCUUCUGGGUUCUAGAAAGGUAAACCCUAUUGAUCCUUAUGAAUGGGCAAGCUCCGAAGCAGAACCAUCCUUUGUCUAUCACUGUGGACCCUGUGCUGAUUGGCUCCCUAUUGAAGUUGUACACUGCUUUAGCCAGCCUAACCAAGCCUUUUCUGUUUACUUCUAGGAAACUCCCCCAAUGUUAGGCCCUCUAUUUAACUCUAUAGAACUUAUAGAUCCAGCUCCCAUCUGCAUCAAGACUGAAUGCCCUUAUA